rnacentral:lncRNA from 1 species
AGAAGUUGAUGGAUGAGAAUGUAAUCCAGAUUCAACAGUCCAGGGAUAUGGGAGAUGAUGUGAAUGUCAUUAUACUGGUGUUCAAGACCCUUGAGCGGGUAGUCAUUCAGUUUGGUAGCAGCAACAACAACAACAUCAAUAGAUCGGUAUCACCAUUGGUUAUACAGUUAGCAGGCCCUUUCCCCUAUGCAUCCGAUAAAGCUGUACCAUUU